GAAGCCAGGCCAAGAAGAAUCCCAGGACUGGAAGGCCUUGUGGGACGUCCCAGGUUUGUCUUGUGUCAAUAGCACUGAUACUCAAUCUCCUACUCCCAUCUGUGAGCAUGCAGACCCUACUUGCCUUCCCACAGCCUCCCUUUUCAUAUUUUUCAUGUUUCUUUAGCUCUGUCUUCAAGCCUUGUUGCUCCCGCAAAAAAACCUGCCUCUUCCUCCAGUCCUCCCAAGCAGGGGGAACAGUCCUGACACCUUUCCAAGCCCUGGUCCAUGGACAUUGUGCCCCCUUCUCCCUGCCCAUGGUGACCUGCUCCAAAACCCUCAAGGAGAAGGGAGUGUAUGUCAUUUCCUCCCUGUAAAGUAAAGAUAAUUUUGCAGGGGACUGUGUGGAUGAAAUGACAUGAUGCAUGGAAAUCCCUUAGCGUGUGCCUGGCAUGUAAACUGCAGGUGUCAUCAUUAUUACUGAGGAAUACUGAGUCCCGAACAUGGCUGUCUCAUUGGUGGACUGGGGUCUCCCCCAGGGCAUUCAUCUACUAUGUGUUUAUUGCACCCUUUUUCCAUGUGAGGCACAUGCCAGGGACUGGGCACAUGGUAUGAACAAGACACAGGUCAUCGGUGUCCUCUUGAGCUCCCUGGCUUGGCAGCAGAUGCAUACCUGGGAAGGAUGCUAGGUCAUCCGGGAACUCUACCUCCUUCAAAUCCCUAAGGACUGUGCUCCCAAUCCGCUUACGCUCAAGGAAGAACUGAUGAGGAAAUGGAGGCACAGACUGAUUAGAAAACCAGCUCAAGGUCAUGUUGCUGGGCUCUCUGGUGGAGCCUCUGUCUCACAGGUCACCUGCAGGCCAACACUCCCAGAAGCAGCUAGCACCAUGGUUGACCUCGUCCAGGUCCAGGGAAGGCCUCCCUCUCCAGGACUCCUUUAGAUUUCCCCAGCAUCCAGACCUCACCUGCCUAAGUGCUGUUGCCCUGGAAGCCACAGUGAGCACGAGCUCCAUCUUGCACCUUUACCAGCCAAUGGGGGUAAAGACAUUAGCUGGGUUACUCAGGCUGAAAUGCUCAAGACACUCUGUCUCAAGGGAUUUGUGGCUGUUUCAUCCUCAAGUAUAGGGGGAAUAGUGGCCAGGAAGAUCUCAGAGGUGGCUUCUGGAAGAGGAAUCUGGGUACUGGCUACCCUGCCUUGUGUCCCAUCAUUGGUCUGUCUUGCCUGUCUUGGAGCACAUUUCUCACCAAGGCCAUGUUCAAUCCCCUCAAGGGAAGCCUGAGACCACAGCUACUGCCUCGAAUCAGAAGCCCCAGCCUCAUCAUCUGGGGCCAGAGAACUAGGGCAGGAGGAGCCAAGUAGCACAGCAGGAAGCAUGAGUCCCUCCGAGGAGAAGCUGGUCUCUGAGAGGAGCACAGAAUGCAGCAGGCUGGAUAAGCCCCCUGCUGAAAUCAUGGGGUAAAAAAGAGACACAGGGGGAAUGGAGGAGCCAGAGAGAAAGCAGUGUGAUCACAGGCACACAGGACAGCAGCUCACCUUCCCAUCCUUGCUGGCUUUUGCACCCAACAGCCCAAAGCCUCCCCGCUGCAAAUUCUUUUUUUUUUUUUUUUUUGCCAGCCUCACUUCCUCUUGGGGAAGGCUGAGCUCUGGUAGAAGAAGAGAAUGAGAACUGCUGUAAAUACUUCUAAGGGGCCAGGCGUGGUGACUCAUGCUUGUAAUUCCAAGCACUUUGGGAGGCUGAGGCAGGUGGAUCACCUGAAGCCAGGAGUUCAAGAGCAGCCUGGCCAACAUGGCGAAACCCUGUCUCUACUAAAAAUACAAAAUUUAGCCAGGCAUGGUGGCGGGAGCCUGUAAUCUCAGCUCCUAGGGAGGCUGAGCCAGAAGAAUCGCUUAAACCUGGAAGCUGGAGGUUGCAGUGAGCCAAGAUCACACCACCACACUCCAGCCUGGGUGACAGAGCAAGACUCCAUCUCAAAAAGAAAAAAAAGAAAAAAAGGAAAUACUUCUAAGUUAUGUGAGAGAGUACAUACUGACAUUUUCAAUGGGUACAAUAA
rnacentral:lncRNA from 1 species